UGAUACUGCACAAGAUACUGCUAGAGGAGAUACUGCUACAGGAUCUGAUGAGCAUAUGCAUGAGACAGGUGGAUCUGGACCACGUCCCGAGGACAAGAGAGAUACUGCUAUAGGAUCUGAUGAGCAUAUGCAUGAGACAGGUGGAUCUGGACCACGUCCUGGGGACAAGAGAGAUACUGCUACAGGAUCUGAUGAGCAUAUG